GUCUAUGGUCACGCUACUCUGAACAAGCCCGAUCCUGUCUGAUCUCGGAAGCUAAGCAAGGUCGGACUUCAUUAGUAUUUGCAUGAGAAACCACCUAGGAAUAUCGGUUGCUGUAGGCA
rnacentral:rRNA from 1 species